CAGAUCUGGAUGUUGGUGCUGGAUCCUCAAGACAGGGCUUGUCACAGUAUGAGAGAGUUGGUGUGGGGAGCCCAGAGGAAUCCAGCACCGACGCAGAGAUGCCCUUGCGGUCUUCUGAGAUUGAUUUAACAUGUGAGACGGAGGAGGAAGAGACUCCCUUGAAGUAGGAUGAUGGAUCCUCCGCUUCUGGUCAUCAUUGUUCCUCCCCUGCCCAGUCCCCUGGCCAGCCCCCUGCCCAGCCCCUGCCCAGCCCCUGCCCAGUCCCCUGCCCAGUCCCCUGCCCAGCCCCCUGCCCAGCCCCUUGCCCAGCCCGGCCCUUCCCAUUUGUCCUGUUCUAUACCUCCAAAAAAACACCCCUUCGUCCCCCUUCACCGCUCUCCCUGUCUUUUGGCCUGUACAGCUACCCCAGCUGCCCUGCCCCCAACUCACCACUCCCCAGCUGUACGGGCUACCCCAGAGCAGCAGCCCAUCCCUCCCCAACCCAAUCCCAUCCCUCCCCAACCCGAUACCAUCCCUCCACAACCCAAUCCCAUCCCUCCACAA